UGCCCAACUGAUCUAGUGAAUUGUGGAAUGCUUUACUGGAAAUCGCCUUUGUCAAAAUAUCCGCCAAUUGAUCCUCGGAUUUCACAAAAUGCGCAAUCUGGUCCAUGUGUCGGGGUCGUUAGUCGAGAAGUCAUAAUCUGUGCAGCGGAAGAUGCAUAGGAUACAGGUUGAGUAGGAAUUGGGAUCGGAAUCUGAGCCUGAGUCGAG
rnacentral:lncRNA from 1 species